rnacentral:rRNA from 1 species
ACGCCAAUUGGCUGCCUGCCUAAUACAUGCAAGUCGAGCGAAUGGAUUAAGAGCUUGCUCUUAUGAAGUUAGCGGCGGACGGGUGAGUAACACGUGGGUAACCUGCCCAUAAGACUGGGAUAACUCCGGGAAACCGGGGCUAAUACCGGACAACAUUUUGAACCGCACGGUUCGAAAUUGAAAGGCGGCUUCGGCUGUCACUUAUGGAUGGACCCGCGUCGCAUAGCUAGUUGGUGAGGUAACGGCUCACCAAGGCAACGAUCCGUAGCCUACCUGAGAGGGUGAUCGGCCACACUGGGACUGAGACACGGCCCAGACCCCUACGGGAGGCAGCAAUAGGGAAUCUUCCGCAAUGGACGAACGUCUGACGGAGCAACGCCUCCGAGUGAUGAAGGCUUUCGGGUCGUACAACUCUUUGUUAGGGAAGAACAAGUGCUAGUUGAAUAAGCUGGCACCUUGACUGUACCUAACCAGAAGCCACGGCUAACUACGUGCCAGCAGCCGCGGUAAUACGUAUGUAGCACGCGUUAUCCGGAAUUAUGGGGCGUAAAGCGCGCGCACGUGGUUUCUUAAGUCUGAUGUGAAAGCCCACGGCUCAUCCGUGGAGGGUCAUUGGAAACUGGGAGACUUGAGUGCAGAAGAGGAAAGUGGAAUUCCAUGUGUAGCGCUGAAAUGCGUAGAGAUAUGGAGGAACACCAGUGGCGAAAGCGACUUUCUGGUCUGUAACUGACACUGAGGCGCGAACGCGUGGGGAGCAAACAGGAUUAGAUACCCUGGUAGUCCACGCCCUACACGAUGAGUGCUAAGUGUUAGAGGGUUUCCGCCCUUUAGUGCUGAACUUAACGCAUAAGCACUCCGCCCGGUGAGUACGGCCGCACCGCUGACACUCAUAGGAAUUGACCGAGGGCCCGCAACAAGCGGUGGAGCAUGUGGUUCAAUUCGAAGCAACGCGAAGCAACCUUACCAGGUCUGACAUCCUCUGAAAUCCCUAGAGAUAGGGCUUCUCCUUCGGGAGCAGAGUGACAGGUGGUGCAUGGUUGUCGUCAGCUCGUGUCGUGAGAUGUUGGGUUAAGUCCCGCAUCGAGCGCAACCCUUGAUCUUAGUUGCCAUCAUUAAGUUGGGCACUCUAAGGUGACUGCCGGUGACAAACCGGAGGAAGGUGGGGAUGACGUCAAAUCAUCAUGCCCCUUAUGACCUGGGCUACACACGUGCUACAAUGGACGGUACAAAGAGCUGCAAGACCGCGAGGUGGAGCUAAUCUCAUAAAACCGUUCUCAGUUCGGAUUGUAGGCUGCAACUCGCCUACAUGAAGCUGGAAUCGCUAGUAAUCGCGGAUCAGCAUGCCACGGUGAAUACGUUCCCGGGCCUUGUACACACCGCCCGUCACACCAUGGGAGUGGGUUGCAAAAGAAGUAGGUAGCUUAACCUUCGGGAGGGCGCUUACCACUUUGUGAUUCAUGACUGGGGUGAAGUCGUAACAAGGUAACCGUUGGGGAACCUGUGGAUGGAUCACCUCCUU